GUGCUCCCUUCGGCAGCACAUAUACUAAAAUUGAUACAGAGAAGGUUAGCAUGGCCUCUGAGCAAGGAUGACAUGCAAAUUUGUGAAGCAUUCCAUAUUUAA
ensembl:snRNA U6 U6 spliceosomal RNA